GCGCCGGUGGUGUAGUAGCGUAGAGCAUUCCCGCCCGGUUAGGAGGGAGGUGCGGGUUCGAGUCCCGCCUGGCGUU
rnacentral:tRNA from 1 species